rnacentral:rRNA from 1 species
AUGGCCUUGGUGCAAAAGUAUGGGAAGCCAGAUAUUUUUUUAACCAUGACUUGCAACCCUAAUUGGGAUGAAAUAAUUAGUGAGCUAGAGCCUGGACAAACCCCACAGGAUCGUCCUGAUCUUAUUGUACGAGGUAGCUGCAAGAACUAUUAUCCACGACCAUUUAAUGUGUCAACCCUUCAGGGAAAGGACUCAUAUCCCAUAUAUAGGAGGAGAGAUGAUGGACGCCGUGCAAAGGUACGUGGCCAAGAGUUAGACAAUAGGUGGGUUGUUCCAUAUAAUCCUUACCUACUAAGAAGGUAUAAUUGCCACAUCAAUGUCGAGGUUUGCUCAAGCAUAAAAGCUGUAAAGUACCUCUUUAAAUACAUAUAUAAGGGGCAUGAUCGAGCAUCUGUUUCUAUCGAUGAGGUGGAUAGUGAUAGGAACAUUGAUGAGAUAAAGCAAUACCGAGAUUCCAGGUGGGUUACUCCACCAGAAGCAUUAUGGAGGAUAUAUGGUUUUGACCUUGAUAUUUCCAUCUGUUAG